AACGUAGGAGACAAACGUUAUCCGGAGUUACUGGGCGUAAAGGGCGUGUAGGUGGUUCUGUAAGUCUGGCGUGAAAUUUUUCGGCUUAACCGGGAAAGGUCGUCGGAUACUGCAGGGCUAGAGGACGGUAGAGGCGUGUGGAAUUCCGGGUGUAGUGGUGAAAUGCGCAGAUAUCUGGGGGAAGGCCGGCGGCGAAGGCGCUUUUCUGGUUAGAUCCUGACACUGAGGCACGAAAGCGUGGGGAGCAAACAGG
rnacentral:rRNA from 1 species